AUAAAAGAAACCGCAAAAGCAGUCUAAAAAAAAAAAAAAUAUCACAAAUCAACGCGAUUUUUUUGCCAAUUGAAAGCUUAAACUGUAUGUUUACAGAAAAAUAUAAAAAAAAUUAGCUCGAAGAACAUUACGAAUAUUUAGAAAAAAAUCAACACGUGAUAUUUGUUUGAGCCACUGUAUAUUCCCCAAAACGUUCUACGUUUAAGGUUUUUAUUGAAAUUUGUUUGGGAAAUGUUUAUGUGUUGCGUUUUUAACAAAUAUAAAUUUUUCCAAAAAAUUGCAACAUAUUCGGAAACUGGUCUAAAAUUUGGUAUGAAAUAAUUUGAGCAAUUUCAGUGGUAGGAGACACACCUAAGAGGAAAACAUUUUUAAUUUACUUCGCAAGCAUACUUUAGACAAAAAUAGUAUACUAAAUACACGUUAAAAAAUUCGAAAAGUAUUUUUCAAAACUGGUAUAAAGUUUUUCCUUAAUUUUGGUGCCAGCAGACAUACUUGAUAGGAAAAUAUUCUAAAUUUAUGUGAAAAUGUCCAGAAAAUUAGUUUUAAAAACUGGCAUAAAAUCUGGCAUAAACGAUUUACAGUAGCGGUUUAGUGUAACGUGGCAUAAUAAGCGAAAAAUAUUCCAAGGCAACUCAUAAGCGCUGUCGGUUAAGGGGUUUAGAGCUGCACUAUCCAAAAUUCUACUAAUUUCUAGCAGAAAACUAAAAAACUUCGUAUAAAUAAAUGUUAUGCUUGAGAAUGCAAAGCAUUCACUUGCACAUGUCUGGAAAGAUAAUAGAUUUCACCCAAAAAUGCAAUGUGCAACUAAUACAAACAUGUUUUAAAGAUGUUCCGAAUCGGGAUUUUUUUCCACAAAAACUGCGUAACUUACUUUGCAAACUUAGAAAAAUAUCUCUCAAAAAAUGAAUUCAAAAUUUUGUUUACAACACCAAUUAAAAUCCAAAAUUAGACUACUUAAACUUAAUAUAGGAAGUUAGUUAACUGGUAUAAAUUUUGUUUACAACAGCAAUUAAAAUCCCAAACCAUUCUGCGUAGCUUGAACUUAAUUUAGGAGGUUAUUAAACUGUUAUACACAUUACCAAGAAACUUCCAGAAACUGGUAUACACGUGCCUAUUAGGGAGAUCAAAUUAUUACUUCUUGUUAGCUUAAGACUACAAAUUUUCAUUAAAAUUAGCUCGAAGACCGUGUUUUCCUCUUAGAUGAAUGAUAUAUACAGCCAGGUUCAGCAAUUCACUACCGAGUGAAUUUCACUCCCAUUCAAACUGAAUUCAAAGUGACUUUGGUUCUAAUUCACUGAAAUGAGCCUGAUAAAUAUAUGUAGCUCUUCGCUGAUGAACUAUUUUUUGUUCAUAAAAUACAUUCGGUUAUAAUACUGUUGCUUUUAGUUUUUGUUGAAUUUAUUUUUUAUUAAAUUUUGUAUGAAUGCCCCUUAUUUCACCUAUACAAAAGUAACCAAAUAAUCAGCCACGUUCCCACAUUCGAACUUUGUGAAAGGAUUUAAUCGUAAUUUGUGGAAAAAAUCGGCUCUGUGUAUUGAAAAUAAUAUCGUAUUAAACCAAAAUCCGUUUGGUAAAAAUAAUUUCGAAGUAAACGAUUAAAGCAACUAUCAACCACAAUAAAUUAUUAAGUAAAUUGUAUGUAUGUAUAUCUAUGCAGUGUUCAAUGAACCUCUAUAAUAUACGAAAAUAAAAUAUUUAUAUGUAAAACAAAUACUUAAAAACUAUAAUAUACAUAUAUUGCAUUACUGCUUAAAUUACGGAAAUCAAACAGAAAUACAAUUAAAAAAAUCUUAAGUUUAACUUACUGCUGUAGCUUAAUUUAUUAUGUUAAACCACAUAUCUAAUAGCAACAACUACAAUAAUAACAAUGAACAGAUUAUAAAGUUAUACCAUGCAACACACUUUAGUAGAAUUUACAGUCAGACACAAAAGCUUGCGUUGCUUGCUUAGGAACACAUACACACACACACACACACACACACACACACACACACACACAAAA